UUCCGGUUGAUCCUGCCGGACCUGACUGCUAUCGGAUUGAUACUAAGCCAUGCAAGUCUUUGUAGUAAUACAAGGCAUACGGCUCAGUAACGCGUAGUCAACCUACCCUAUGGAUGGGGAUAAUCUCGGGAAACUGAGCAUAAUACCCAACAGAUCAUCAAUUCUGGAAUGGUUGAUGAUUCGAAUGAUUUUUCGCCAUAGGAUGGGACUGCGGCCUAUCAGCUUGUUGGUGAGGUAAUGGCCCACCAAGGCAAUUACAGGUACGGGCUCUGAGAGGAGAAGCCCGGAGAUGGGUACUGAGACAAGGACCCAGGCCCUAUGGGGCGCAGCAGGCGAGAAAACUUUGCAAUGUGCGAAAGCACGACAAGGUUAAUCCGAGUGAUUUCUGCUAAAGGAAUCUUCUACCAGUUCUAAAAAUACUGGCGAAUAAGGGGUGGGCAAGUUCUGGUGUCAGCCGCCGCGGUAAAACCAGCACCUCAAGUGGUCAGGAGGAUUAUUGGGCCUAAAGCAUCCGUAGCCGGCUCUGUAAGUUUUCGGUUAAAUCUAUAUGCUCAACAUAUAGGCUGCCGAAAAUACUGCACAGCUAGGGAAUGGGAGAGGUAGACGGUACUCSGUAGGAAGGGGUAAAAUCCUUUGAUCUAUCGAUGACCACCUGUGGCGAAGGCGGUCUACCAGAACAUGUUCGACGGUGAGGGAUGAAAGCUGGGGGAGCAAACCGGAUUAGAUACCCGGGUAGUCCCAGCUGUAAACGAUGCAGACUCGAUAAUGCACUGGCACAUAGCCAGUGCAGUGUCGCAGGGAAGCCGUUAAGUCUGCCGCCUGGGAAGUACGUACGCAAGUAUGAAACUUAAAGGAAUUGGCGGGGGGGCACCACAAGGGGUGAAGCCUGCGGUUCAAUUGGACUCAACGCCGGGA
rnacentral:rRNA from 1 species